rnacentral:rRNA from 1 species
UACGUAGGGUGCGAGCGUUAAUCGGAAUUAUUGGGCGUAAAGCGUGCGCAGGCGGUCUUGCAAGACAGAUGUGAAAUCCCCGGGCUUAACCUGGGAACUGCAUUUGUGACUGCAAGGCUGGAGUACGGUAGAGGGGGAUGGAAUUCCGCGUGUAGCAGUGAAAUGCGUAGAUAUGCGGAGGAACACCGAUGGCGAAGGCAAUCCCCUGGACCUGUACUGACGCUCAUGCACGAAAGCGUGGGGAGCAAACAGG